rnacentral:rRNA from 1 species
GGUUAAGCGACUAAGCGUACACGGUGGAUGCCCUGGCAGUCAGAGGCGAUGAAGGACGUGCUAAUCUGCGAUAAGCGUCGGUGAGGUGAUAUGAACCGUUAUAACCGGCGAUUUCCGAAUGGGGAAACCCAGUGUGUUUCGACACACUAUCAUUAACUGAAUCCAUAGGUUAAUGAGGCGAACCGGGGGAACUGAAACAUCUAAGUACCCCGAGGAAAAGAAAUCAACCGAGAUUCCCCCAGUAGCGGCGAGCGAACGGGGAGGAGCCCAGAGCCUGAAUCAGUGUGUGUGUUAGUGGAAGCGUCUGGAAAGGCGCGCGAUACAGGGUGACAGCCCCGUACACAAAAAUGCACAUAUUGUGAGCUCGAUGAGUAGGGCGGGACACGUGGUAUCCUGUCUGAAUAUGGGGGGACCAUCCUCCAAGGCUAAAUACUCCUGACUGACCGAUAGUGAACCAGUACCGUGAGGGAAAGGCGAAAAGAACCCCGGCGAGGGGAGUGAAAAAGAACCUGAAACCGUGUACGUACAAGCAGUGGGAGCCUCUUAAUGGGGUGACUGCGUACCUUUUGUAUAAUGGGUCAGCGACUUAUAUUCUGUAGCAAGGUUAACCGAAUAGGGGAGCCGAAGGGAAACCGAGUCUUAACUGGGCGUUAAGUUGCAGGGUAUAGACCCGAAACCCGGUGAUCUAGCCAUGGGCAGGUUGAAGGUUGGGUAACACUAACUGGAGGACCGAACCGACUAAUGUUGAAAAAUUAGCGGAUGACUUGUGGCUGGGGGUGAAAGGCCAAUCAAACCGGGAGAUAGCUGGUUCUCCCCGAAAGCUAUUUAGGUAGCGCCUCGUGAAUUCAUCUCCGGGGGUAGAGCACUGUUUCGGCAAGGGGGUCAUCCCGACUUACCAACCCGAUGCAAACUGCGAAUACCGGAGAAUGUUAUCACGGGAGACACACGGCGGGUGCUAACGUCCGUCGUGAAGAGGGAAACAACCCAGACCGCCAGCUAAGGUCCCAAAGUCAUGGUUAAGUGGGAAACGAUGUGGGAAGGCCCAGACAGCCAGGAUGUUGGCUUAGAAGCAGCCAUCAUUUAAAGAAAGCGUAAUAGCUCACUGGUCGAGUCGGCCUGCGCGGAAGAUGUAACGGGGCUAAACCAUGCACCGAAGCUGCGGCAGCGACACUAUGUGUUGUUGGGUAGGGGAGCGUUCUGUAAGCCUGUGAAGGUGUACUGUGAGGUAUGCUGGAGGUAUCAGAAGUGCGAAUGCUGACAUAAGUAACGAUAAAGCGGGUGAAAAGCCCGCUCGCCGGAAGACCAAGGGUUCCUGUCCAACGUUAAUCGGGGCAGGGUGAGUCGACCCCUAAGGCGAGGCCGAAAGGCGUAGUCGAUGGGAAA